GGUCCCAUAGCUCAGCUGGUUAGAGCGUCGUACUAAUACCAUCGUAUUCCAACGGUCAUAUUAAGUAAAUGCGAAGGCCGGCGGUUCGAGCCCGCCUGGGACCA